rnacentral:tRNA from 1 species
GCCGGAAUGGCGGAAUGGCAGACGCACCAGACUCAAAAUCUGGCGCCUUCACGGGCGUAAGGGUUCAAGUCCCUUUUCCGGUA